GGGCCUAUGGUAUAGUGGCAGAACACCUCCAUGGCAUGGAGGAGACCCGAGUUCGAUUCUCGGUAGGUCCACCA
rnacentral:tRNA from 1 species